rnacentral:rRNA from 1 species
CCUACGGAGGCUGCAGUGGGGAAUAUUGGACAAUGGGCGAAAGCCUGAUCCAGCCAUGCCGCGUGUGUGAAGAAGGCCUUCGGGUUGUAAAGCACUUUCAGUGGGGAAGAAAGCCUUGGGGCUAAUACCCUCGAGGAAGGACAUCACCCACAGAAGAAGCACCGGCUAACUCCGUGCCAGCAGCCGCGGUAAUACGGAGGGUGCGAGCGUUAAUCGGAAUUACUGGGCGUAAAGCGCGCGUAGGCGGUCUGAUAAGCCGGUUGUGAAAGCCCCGGGCUCAACCUGGGAACGGCAUCCGGAACUGUCAGGCUAGAGUGCAGGGGAGGAAGGUAGAAUUCCCGGUGUAGCGGUGAAAUGCGUAGAGAUCGGGAGGAAUACCAGUGGCGAAGGCGGCCUUCUGGACUGACACUGACGCUGAGGUGCGAAAGCGUGGGUAGCAAACAGGAUUAGAUACCCCGGUAGUC